CACGGUUGCAUAUACAGAACCGCAUCGGGUUUUCUCGUCAUCGUCGGGAUGCUGCGCACACCCGCUCAAGGUUUUCUUCUCGGCGUGUACGGCCGUGCAGCCGCGCCACAUUGCGGCGUGCGGCUCGUAACACGUUAACGUAACGCUCGUAACGGCAAACGUCAUGAUGACAUGCGAUUUUAGAUUCCGCACGAAGCGAGAGGCGUAACAUCGGUUUUACCGAGGUGGUUUUUUUUUUUUUUUUUUUUUUCCUUGUGCGUUCGUGUCCGCCAACAACUUUUCUAUACCUGCAGAAACACCGCCCCGUCCGAAAACUUUCGUGCAGCGUUCGGGAUCCGUAUUCGGAGAGCGGUUGUUUUUUUUUAAUUUUUUCGCUCUGCGGUUCACUCGAUAAACGGGGAACGGCCUGGCGAUCGCUCGUUGAUAAAACGUCCGCGGCCGCGCGAGGAAAAACCGGACCGCCUCGGCAACGCCGCUCGGAAUCGUUUUUCGCGGGCUCGCCGCCGCGUAUGUUCAAUCGCUCGACGACGGUACGGUUAUACCGGCCACCGCUGCGUCCCGGCUUUCCGCCAAACACCGGCGCCCAUCGGUUAGGUUAGUAGAUAUCGGAUUCUAGAUUUGUUUUUUUUUUUUUUUUUUUUUUUCCCCCCGCGACGUCAUCGUUAUUCUAUCGGCAAACCAUCGUGCCUACGUCAGGAAACGCGGAAAUAGAGAGAGAGAGAUAGAGAGGAAUAGCGAGAGAGCGACGGUAGUAAUGUAUUCGUAAAAUAUUCGUCCGUUCAAGGUCCGUUCCGCGCACGAAACAAUGGGUCUCGCCGAUAUAUUUCGUUCUGUCGCGUGUACCUACCCAUCGCCAACCGCACUAAACACCUACCGUACUGAAUGUUGUACUGUUGCGUAUCGCUAAAAAAAAAAAAAUACAGAAUACAAUUCUAAACGAAAAUACACCUACAGCGUCGGCGAACGGUGCCGCGACAGAAAUAGUAUUUUUUUUUUUUUUAUUUUUUUUUUUCCGUACUCGGCUCCGGGCACGUCCCUCGGAGAGCGGAACGGUCGCGAUCCUGUUGCCCGCGUCACGACCGACGAGAAAAUGUAUUCGAAUACGAGCGUACUUCUUGCGGCCGGUAUAGGCGAGAAAAAAACGUACGGCCGCCGGACGUUUUUUUUUUUUUUUUUUUUUUUUUUUUUUCUGUCGAUCGCCCCCGUUUUCGAAAAUUGUAUUUCCGCCGCGGAAGCGAUUCACGGCGGUAUCGGGCAAUCGAGAGUAGGAACCGAGAAAACCGUGUCCCGUACCUUAUUUGCCGCCCGCCCCGAAGAGGUACGCGAAGUCUCUCAAAAGGUUUUGGUUUUCUUUAUGAGCGACGGAACGGAUUUCGGGGGAGGGCACGAACGCCCCUCUCCUCGGACACUUGCACAGCCUUGUCCGGGUAUUACGCACGUGUAGGUAGGUUUAUACAUUCGUUACAAUAACGGACCGUUAAAAAUAAAUACGCCGAGAAUUCAAAAUGAUUUUCUGUAUGAUUUUUGUGUUUUUUUUUUUGUUCUUUUUUUCUUUUAAAUACUAAUAUAACAAAUCGGGUUAAUAGAUUUAGGACAAAAUAUCGUAAAAUAAUAAUAAUAAUAAUAAUAAUAAUAAUAAGUAAUAAGUAAUAAGUAAUAAGUAAUAAUAAUCGUAAUAAUAAUAAUAAUAAUAAUAAUGUAUGUAUAGCGAAUUCCGAAAUAUAGAAUAACUCGAUUUACAAGUACGUUAUAAUAUACAUAUUAUACAUACAUAUAUAAAAUUAAUUAUACGAUAAUGUACGUGUAUAAUAAUAUUUUAGUCUACUAGAUUAUUACAUAAUAUUGUAUAUUACUUAAAGAAAAAAAAAAAAAAUUUACAUAAACUUAUAAUGUAUUUAAAUCGAAAUAUACAAAUUGUCAUUACAAUAAUAUUAAUACAUACGUAUGUAUGUAUACAUACGCGCGUAUAUAAUAAUAAUAAUAAUAAUAAAAUAAUGUACACGGCGUUAUAAUACGCGUGUAUUAUAGAAAAGAAAAAAAAAAAAAAAAAAAAAAACAGUAUUGAUAAGCCCGUACAAUACGCGAUCGUACGCGUCGUGCGGACAACGCGAUAUCAUGUGUGGGCGUGCGCGCGAAAACGGAUCCGGGAGCGUUUCGGGGAGGGGGCGAGGGGGUGGGGGGUGGCGGGGGUUCGGGGGAUCGAAGGGGAGGGAGGGGCGGAAGGCGGCAAUUCGAACGGUAACAGCUUAUCCGACGGGCAGUGCCGAAUUCGGUCGCGUUCCGACCGAGAGCCGCGGCGCCCGCGGAUUGUUUUCUUGUGCGUUUCGCGAUACGCGCGCCCGUCACGGGGGAAAAGGGAUUGGGAAUAUCACCACCGUUACCGGCCCCCCCCCCCAAACACCGCCGCCAAAGUCCGUCUCGGAUCCGCCGCCGCCACCGCCGGAGUUGCGGACAAAAAAUAGCGUAUAAUAAUAUGUACAAAAUGGUUUGGUUUGGUUUGGUUUUUUUUUUUUUUUUUUUUAAUUAUCGUUCGAUAUUUACGGAAUCUAAUGUAUAGUAAUAUUACCUAUUAUUAUUAUUAUUAUUAUUAUUAUUAUUAUUUUUUUAUUUAUUUUUUUUUUUUUUUUUCGUAAAACUUUCGGAUGCGUUUUGUUUUUUUAUAUAUAUGUACACAAAUAAGUACUCAUGUUAGGCGCAUGUAAUAUACGCUGCGUAAAUACAAAGCGUUUUCGGAUGAGAGGUGGGAAACGGGUUUAUGUUAUGAAAAAUAAAAUAGAUUUUGGCACCAAUAAAUAUCCAUAGUAAUUAAUAUAUUGUAUAGUAGUCUAAACGCUAAAAAGUCAAAAAAAAAAAAAAACCGAUAAUAAUAGUAAUAAUAAUAAUGAACUAAUGCAACAAAAAGAAAAAAAUUAUAAUAAUAAUAAUAAUAAUAAUAAUAAUAUAGUCGUACAUAACCAAGAACACAAAAUAACGUAAAAAUAAAAAAAAAAAAAAAUACAAUAGAAUAAGGCGCAAAAAAGACGUACAUUAUUACGUUAUACCGUAUCGGUCCGCGUAAAUAUUCCGCACGAAUAACCGAUACUACAUUUUUAUUACAACAACCAUCGUGACUUUGGGCUGUAUGGCGUAUUGUCAUAACGAAAAGAAAAAAAAAAAAAUCAAACAUUAAAUUGCGUAUGGUUAUUGCGAUUUAUUGCAAUAUAUUAUGUAUAGUUUCAGUAAAUAGGGAGAAAAAAAAAAAAACGAACAAAACUCGACAACAAAAAAGUCUGCGUUGAAAAGCGUUAUUAUUUAUUUAUUUAUUUUUUUCAUUAUCGGUAUUCGAUUUAAUCUGUUUCGAAUACGUCGCGUUAAAAAUAAAAAGUUAAAAAAAACCUUAAUUGCGUUCAGUGCGUAAGACACCCGCCCAUAUUUGCGCGACGAAACGAAACGAAAAGUUUAGAAAACACGGAAAACACCUACCGCAGUAUAUUUUUUAAACAUAAGUUACAUUAAAUGCAGAUAAUAUUAUUAAUAAUACUCGUAUGUAUAGGAAAUUUUUUAUCGUAAUAUUUACACGUAUCAUAUAUAAUAAUAUUAAAACAAUAGAGAGAGAGAGAGAGAGAGAGAGAAAAAAACACUAAAACUCGCGUGUACGAAGACGGAGAUCGACAUGGUUUUUUUUUUUUUAUCUAGACGAAAAAAAAACACCGGUUACGUUUUGAGAAACGAUUCAUAUAUAUUUAUGUACAAGUACAGUAUUAAGAAUAAUACAAAAAAUUUAAUUUUUUUUUUUUUUUUGUUUCAAUCGCAAUGUAUUUUACGCACAGUCCGUCUGUGUUGUAUAGAAGCUAUGAGCAGAAAAAAAAAUAAAUUACAACUAAACGUACCUAACAAUAUCGCGGUAUAUUAUUAUUAUUUGUAUUCCUUUUUUUUUUUUUUUUUUUUUUUUUUUUUACG